GGUUGAUGCUUACGUGUUUAUCGUUGUGUGGUGCGGACAAGUCUAGAAUAAGUCGCUUUUUGAAAGAACAUUUACCCUCCAUAACUCCCAAUGAACUUACUCGAUAAUCAUUAAAAGGUAAAUUUUCAAACGUACCAUAAACGAAACCGUUACAUAGUUCUUUGUGAAUAAGAUCUGAAACUGAAUUUUUCUGUGACCUCUUC
rnacentral:lncRNA from 1 species